GGCGUACCGGGAAGUCGCUGAAGACAGAGCGAUGGCAGUUCUGGAGGCCUCGCUCCGGGGCCGACCCGAGGCCACAGUGCCCCCGCGGUAGACCGGACUUGGGUGACGGGCUCCGGGGUCCCGAGGGAUGGAAGGGUCUAAGACGUCCAACAACAGCACCAUGCAGGUGAGCUUCGUGUGCCAGCGCUGCAGCCAGCCCCUGAAACUGGACACGAGUUUCAAGAUCCUGGACCGUGUCACCAUCCAGGAACUCACAGCUCCAUUACUUACCACAGCCCAGGCGAAACCAGGAGAGACCCAGGAGGAAGAGACUAACUCAGGAGAGGAGCCAUUUAUUGAAACUCCUCGCCAGGAUGGUGUCUCUCGCAGAUUCAUCCCCCCAGCCAGGUGCCUACUACUUCUCAGCCCCCAUUCCUUGCCAAAGGCUAGUAGAAUUUUAAUUAAAUCCAGGAAUCGAGACCUGGAGCCAGGUGAUAGAGAUGCGUCAUCACCUAGCCUUUUGGCCCUUUCAGGAAAGAUGUAUUCCCUUAUACCUGGCCCGUCACCUUCCAGUAUGGAUUUUUUCCUGUAGCCAUUCACACAGUGGGAAAGGAUAGUAGCUUUAAUGAUGAAGUAUUGAAAAAAAUUGAGGGAGUGAUUGACUAAUCACCAAGAGAUGGGCUCUUGAGAAGUUUCAAAAUAGCAAAUGUUGUUAGAUGUUCAGGUCCUUAGUUCUCAUUGCUGCAGGUAAAGAGCUUGCUGGCAAGGGGUAUAAUAUUUUUUAAAAUGGCCUUUCCUGGUUCUCCCUUCUUUUCCACUGUAGACAUAUCAAUUUUUUAUGCUCCCUCUCCCUCCUUAGUCCAUCAAGGCCAACCUUCGUGCUGAGUGUCCCUGUGGAAGACCAGCAUGGCCUUCCUUUGGGAGAGGGGUACCCUUGGGAGGUCAGUCGGGCUAGGAGUGGGUAUGUUCCCUGAGGCCCCUCAGCUGGUGCUUGAGAGUCUCUGCCACUGGCAUUGCAGUAGGUGGAGGAAGCCUCUCUGUUCCCUCAUGUGGCCCGUGGGCGGGGGGCUGUCUGCAGGAUGAUGUCCACAGAAAGUGCCAACAGCUUCACUCUGAUUGGGGAGGCAUCUGAUGGCGGCACCAUGGAGAACCUCAGCCGAAGACUGAAGGCAAGUCGGCCCCAUUCCGGUGGCAAGCAGUAGGCCUGGCUGGGAGAGUGGGUAAUUGAGCAGGAAGCAUGGGGGAGGCCCUACCCUGACUCUCCCACACUUCCAGGUCACUGGGGACCUUUUUGACAUCAUGUCGGGCCAGACAGAUGUGGAUCACCCACUCUGUGAGGAAUGCACAGAUACUCUUUUAGACCAGCUGGACACUCAGCUCAACGUCACUGAAAAUGAGUGUCAGAACUACAAACGCUGUUUGGAGAUCUUAGAGCAAAUGAAUGAGGAUGACAGUGAACAGUUACAGAUGGAGCUAAAGGAGCUGGCACUAGAGGAGGAGAGGCUGAUCCAGGAGCUGGAAGAUGUGGAAAAGAACCGCAAGAUAGUGGCAGAAAAUCUCGAGAAGGUCCAGGCUGAGGCUGAGAGACUGGAUCAGGAGGAAGCUCAGUAUCAGAGAGAAUACAGUGAAUUUAAACGACAACAGCUGGAGCUGGAUGAUGAGCUGAAGAGUGUCGAAAACCAGAUGCGUUAUGCCCAGAUGCAGCUGGAUAAGCUGAAGAAAACCAAUGUCUUUAAUGCAACCUUCCACAUCUGGCACAGUGGACAGUUUGGCACAAUCAAUAACUUCAGGCUGGGUCGCCUGCCCAGUGUUCCCGUGGAAUGGAAUGAGAUUAAUGCUGCUUGGGGCCAGACUGUGUUGCUGCUCCAUGCUCUGGCCAAUAAGAUGGGUCUGAAAUUUCAGAGGUAAGAAGUGUAGCCCUUUCUUGGGGAGUGAUGUGUCUUUGAUAUAAUUUGUAUCUCCAACCUGGUACUGCUGUCCACCAUGUCAGGAGCCCUUGCUGCCCACAGACCGGGAGUUUUCUGUGGCUGAAGAGCUGUCAGCAUCUGAUUUUCCCCUCAUCACAGGGCUCUCUCCACUGAUCACACAGUCACUGAGUUGCAUGACUAUAGCAUAGUUCCCAGCCUACAGUCCCCAGAGCCUUAGUGUUCCUCAGGAUAUUUUCAGUUUUUGUUUCUUAAAUUUAAACCAAAACAUAACAUUUGUUCAUGGAAGGCCCCCAGGCAAUUAUGUAAUAAAUGUAGUUUGUUCAUUAAACAAAAUCUUUUAAACAUGGAUCCAAUGGGGAGGUGGGAGAGGGAGUUGAGCAUAAUAAAAGAAGCCCUUGGCUAGAAUGAAGAGUGAAAUCACUGGGUUAUAACUUCCCAAUAAUCACUUUAGGAGGAGUCCUGUAUCCAUCUCUGUUUGUAUCUCUAUUUUAGAUACCGACUUGUUCCUUACGGAAACCAUUCAUAUCUGGAGUCUCUGACAGACAAAUCUAAGGUACUCUGUGAAGCUCCAUUUUCACUGGAAUACAGAGUUCUUAUAUCUCUUAAGAAAAUGGACGGUUUGCUUUGAUAUUGGCAUUCAAUUUAUUUUUUAGACCUAGAUAUGAAGAGCCAGUAUAUUGUUCAAUAUCUUGUCUAGUUCAGGUUUAGUUCAGAUUUUGGGAUAUUGGCAUAUAGAUACUAAGAUAUCUUGGGAAUGGGACCCAAGCCUAAACACAAAAUUCAUUUAUCGAGCCUCUGUCUCAAAAAAAAAAAAAAGAAAGGAAAGGUAUCAGGUAUGGAAUUUUCCCCUUGUGGCAUCAUAUCAAUGAUCAAGAAGUUUCAGGUUUUGUAGCAUUUUUUUAUUAUUUUUAUUUAUUUAUUUACUUAUUUUGAGACGGAGUCUCACUCUGUCACCCAGGCUGGAGUGCAGUGGCGUGAUCUCAGCUCACUGCAGGCUUCGCCUCCUGGGUUCAUGCCGUUCUCCUGCCUCAGCCUCCUCUCCUCCCGAGUAGCUGGGAUUACAGGCGCCCACCACAAUGCCUGGCUAAUUUUUUGUAUUUUUGGUAGUGAUGGGGUUUCACCAUGUUAGCCAUGAUGGUCUCGAUCUCCUGACCUCAUGAUCCACCCGCCUCGGCCUCCCAAAGUGCUGGGAUUACAGGCGUGAGCACCAUGCCUGGCCUAUUUUUAUUUAUUUUUCUUUUCUUUUUGUGGGUUUUUUUUGGGUUUUUUUGAAAUGGAGUUUCGCUCUUGUUGCCCAGGCUGAAGUGCAAUGGCAUGAUCUCGGCUCACUGCAACCUCCGCCUCCCGGGUUCAAGCAAUUCCCCUGCCUCAGCCUCCUGAGUAUCUGGGAUUACAGGCAUGCACCACCACGCCCGGCUAAUUAGGUAUUUUUAGUAGAGACGGGAUUUCUCCAUGUUGGUCAGGCUAGUCUCAAACUCCCAGCCUCAGGUGAUCUGCCCACCUUGGCCUCCCAAAGUGCUGGGAUUACAGGCGUGAGCCACUGCGCCUGGUCUAUUUAUUUAUCUUUCUUUUCUCAUCUACUCUUCCUGGAAAGGUUUUGUAGCAUUUUGGAUUUUUGGAUUAAGGAUGCUCAACCUAUGGUACAUUUUCAUGAUAGUGAAACAGUUCUAAGUGCAUUGUUAUUUGCCCAAGGUUAUUGUAGUUGUUCAAAUCUAUGGAAGAUAGAGUCCAGCUACAAUACAAGUUUCCAGUGGGAUACAGACAGAAGAUGACAUGAAAGAUUGAUAGGAUUGGGAACAAUCUCUGGAAGCCUGUCUUUGUGCCAGAUCCAUAGCCAGUUUUCUCUUCUUGGGCAGGAGCUGCCGUUAUACUGUUCUGGGGGGUUGCGGUUUUUCUGGGACAACAAGUUUGACCAUGCAAUGGUGGCUUUCCUGGACUGUGUGCAGCAGUUCAAAGAAGAGGUUGAGAAAGGCGAGACACGUUUUUGUCUUCCCUACAGGAUGGAUGUGGAGAAAGGCAAGAUUGAAGACACAGGAGGCAGCGGUGGCUCCUAUUCCAUCAAAACCCAGUUUAACUCUGAGGAGCAGUGGACAAAAGCUCUCAAGUUCAUGCUGACGAAUCUUAAGUGGGGUCUUGCUUGGGUAUCCUCACAAUUUUAUAACAAAUGACUUUUUUCCUUAAGGGGAGGUUUGCCUUAAAGGCUUUUAAUUUUGUUUUGUUUGCAAACAUGUUUUAAAUUAAAUUCGGGUAAUAUUAAACAGUACAUGUUUACAAUACCAAAAAAGAAAAAAUCCACAAAAGCCACUUUAUUUUAAAAUAUCAUGUGACAGAUACUUUCCAGAGCUACAACAUGCCAUGUAUAGCUGCCAGCCCUUGUCACAGUUUUGACUCUUAACCCCAUGGACUCCUUUCCCUUUCUUCUCUGAAAAAAACUAAUUUAAAUUUGCUUUUUUUUUUUUUUAACUGAGUUGAAUUGAGAUUGAUGUGUUUUCACUGGAUUUUUAUCUCUCUCAACUUCCUGCACUUAACAAUAUGAAAUAGAAACUUUUGUUUUUAUUGAGACGAGCAUAUGUUUGAGAUGCACAGUUGGAUAAUGUGGGAAAAUAACAUCUAAGCUUUACCUGGUCACCAUGUGAUGUGAUGAGAUGCUUGAAAUUUAACGCUUCUCACUUGGUUCUUAUACUGAAUGCCGACUCUGCUCUGUGUUAGAGAUAUGAAAUGGUGUUUGAUACUGUUUGAGACAUUAUGGAGAGAUUUAAUUAUUUGUAAUAAAAGAUUUGCUGCAGUCUGAAAACUG
rnacentral:sRNA from 1 species